CCUACGGGAGGCAGCAGUGGGGAAUAUUGCACAAUGGGGGAAACCCUGAUGCAGCGACGCCGCGUGAGUGAAGAAGUAUUUCGGUAUGUAAAGCUCUAUCAGCAGGGAAGAAAAUGACGGUACCUGACUAAGAAGCCCCGGCUAACUACGUGCCAGCAGCCGCGGUAAUACGUAGGGGGCAAGCGUUAUCCGGAUUUACUGGGUGUAAAGGGAGCGUAGACGGCGGUGCAAGUCAGAAGUGAAAUGCCAGGGCUUAACCCUGGUAAUGCUUUGGAAACUGUGCAGCUAGAGUGCAGGAGAGGUAAGUGGAAUUCCUGGUGUAGCGGUGAAAUGCGUAGAUAUUAGGAGGAACACCAGUGGCGAAGGCGGCUUACUGGACUGUAACUGACGUUGAGGCUCGAAAGCGUGGGGAGCAAACAGGAUUAGAUACCCGAGUAGUC
rnacentral:rRNA from 1 species